rnacentral:lncRNA from 1 species
AUGAAUGAGAAAUACAUAUCAACUCAAAUCUUAAGUUUGAGUAUUAUUAUCACAUAAACUUUGAGUCUAUCAUAUUCUAUUGAGACUUAUAGUCUCAAAAUGUGAUCUAGGCUUGAGUAUUAUUAUCACAUAAACUUUGAGUCUAUCAUAUUCUAUUGAGACUUAUAGUCUCAAAAUGUGAUCUAGGCUUCAAGCCAUAAAUUGAUUAUGAUCAAUUAUCAAUUUUCUCAUUUCAAUAUUUUGUGGACUUGAAAAAUGUCCACAAAUGACAAAUUUGUCAUGUCUGAGUAAUUUGCUUGUAUCUCUCUCAUUCGAGAUCCAAUUUCAACGCUUCAACAUGCUGUGAACAGCCAACAGAAAGUUCUACAACUUUCGUAUUUUACAUUUUAUCAAAUUCGGUCAAUAUCAGGUCCGAAACGGGACUCAAAGUCUUGAAAAAUGACCACAAAUGACAGAUCUGGCAUGUCUGAGUAUUUUAAGCAUAUCUCUCUUGAUCGAGAUCCGAUUUUGAUGAUUCAAAAUGUUCCGAACAGCCAAUAGAAAAUGCUACA